UUCGUCUGGCAUGUGACGGCUCCAGGAAGCGUUCCUUUAAACCCUUGUUGGGGGAAUUGUGUCCUUGGGUGUUCCUCCAGACUUAUUCCAAACCCUGAUUGUCUCUUUUGGAACAUAAACUAGACAUUUUGGUUCGGUGAGCCAAGGGCCAACUUCAUGUGGCUUUGAGGAGACUUGCUAUGGUCAUCUGGUGUUUCCUGUUGAGAGUCUGGAUAGGAACCAAAUCACUGGAUUACUGAUGAACUGCAUCAUCUCAUACAGGCAUGGUGAGGCCUUCAAGCAUGGAAUGGACGUUCUGAGACAUCUCUGGUGAGACGGUUUCAGUUUACCUGCUUAAAGCUCAUUGCAGAGGGACCUGUUUUGUUUCUGUGGGCAGGACCCCCAUGGACCCUCACAGAGCAGAGACCCCGAGCCUCCCACUCCACUCCACCUCCCAGGAACAGCGUCCUGCCAGACCCUCUCUGCACAGAACCUGCUCAUAUUCAACAAAUCUCUCUGGAUGACUAGGGUACAAAGUGCCUUCCUUACUGCAGGUCAUCCUUCUGUUCCCUUCAGAGGUUGGUCGUGUUGGUGUACAUCAAGAGCCAGCAGGAAUCUGAUGAGGAGAAAUAUGGAUUUAGAUUUAAGCCAAACUGUACCAUAUUUGUUAAUUAUGAUUUGAAGGCAAAUGUCAGGUUUUCAGUGUAAAUUUAGCAAAAACAGAGUUGUGUGAGUAAUUUUGAGGUCUUGGGUCUUUCAGUUCCAUUUUCAGAUGUUCAAACGUUGCUACGAGCAAACCUUUGGCCCCUGUACCUUACUUUACGUUUGAGUUGUAGAUGUAGUAAAAAGGACUUGAACUUUACCCACAA